AUUGAACGCUGGCGGCAGGCCUAACACAUGCAAGUCGGACGGUAGCACAGAGAGCUUGCUCUUGGGUGACGAGUGGCGGACGGGUGAGUAAUGUCUGGGGAUCUGCCCGAUAGAGUGGGAUAACCACUGGAAACGGUGGCUAAUACCGCAUAACGUCGCAAGACCAAAGAGGGGGACCUUCGGGCCUCUCACUAUCGGAUGAACCCGGAUGGGAUUAACUAGUAGGCGGGGUAAUGGCCCACCUAGGCGACGAUCCCUAGCUGGUCUGAUAGGAUGCCCAGCCACACUGGAACUGAGACACGGUCCCGACUCCUACGGGAGGCAGCAGUGGGGAAUAUUGCAAAAUGGGCGCAAGCCUGAUGCAGCCAUGCCGCGUGUAUGAAGAAUGCCUUCGGGUUGUAAAGUACUUUCAGCGGGGAGGAAGGCGGUGCGGUUAAUAACCGCGUCGAUUGACGUUACCCGCAGAAGAAGCACCGGCUAAUUCCGUGCCAGCCGCCGCCGUAA
rnacentral:rRNA from 1 species